ACUGAAUGCAUGAAGGGAAGCAAUCCCUCUUUCUUCCAUUCCUGCUUAGGAUAAAAGGACGUGAAUUGUGAACCAUUGCUCAAGUUAGGGGGAAGAUCUAUUUCUGAAAUAGCUGGAAGUUUCCUAACCAAAGCUGGAAACUAAUGGAACACCCAUACUCAGGAGGGAGCUGGAUGAUGAUUCCUAGUUCCUCGACUCCCAACACUGCAGGGGCAACAUCAAAUCAGGACCUUUCUCUCCUCCACCAACAUCAUCUUCAUCAUCAACAACAGCAGCAGCAGCAGCAGCUACAACAACAACAACAACAGCAGCAACAGCGUCAUCAACAGCAACAUCAUCAGCAUCAGUCACUGGCUUCUCAUUUCCAUCUUUUACAUUUGGUGGAGAAUUUAGCAGAUGCAAUUGAAAGUGGUACACGGGAUCAGCAUUCAGACACGGUUAGUGACUUGACUGGCCACUUUGAAAAGUGUCAACAGAUAUUAAACUCAAUAUCAGGAUCAAUAAAUGCAAAGGCUAUGACAGUUGAAGGGCAGAAGCGUAAACUGGAGGAAACUGAGCAACUGCUACACCAAAGAAGGGAUCUGAUUUCCAAGUACAGAAGCUCUGUUGAACAUCUGAUUAAGUUGGGCAGAUGACAGAGACCAUCCUUCUGGUUUUCAUGCCAAAGCAGGAGUAUGAGAGUCUCAGAGGAAGAGAAAGCUUGGGGUCGGCUUCAGAGGCCAGUUGUUAUGGUAACAAAUGAUGAUUCUAUGGCUUGCAGUCGUCAUUUCUGGUUUCAUUAGCUUGACGAUUGUCUUUCCCGGUGAUGAGGGGAAGAGACCCCUGUGUAGAGAUUGGCGACUUCAGCCCUUGCCAAUUAACUUGACUGGAGAUUCUGAUCUCUAUGUGGGAGCAUUUUAUCUCACCGAGCAAGAGGCAGCGGAUUAUUACUGGAUGGUUGUGUUCAUUCCUUCAGUUAUUCUUUUCUUUGCCUCGGUUGUUUACCUUGUAGCAGGUUUCUGUAUAUGAUGGUUUACAUUCUGACUUCAGGUGAAUCGUUUCAUAGCUGCAUUAUUGCUUCAAAAAACGUGGAUGCAGUUAAUUGAAGAGGGACCAAUUCAUGGGAUAAAUUUGGAAGCAAUUGAAAUUUGUAGGACAAGGAGUCAUGUACUGGAGAAGAACCAGUCUUCUAGUCUCGACCAUAUCCGAAUGAACCUUGGGCAACAGUUUGCAAAUUAAUUUAGUGCAAACACAAAUUUUCCAAAAUGUUGCUAGAUUGCGCAAUUAGGGUCUAAGGUAGAGCCAUUCGUAAUAUGAAUUUUAUUUUCCCAAGAAAUGGAAGAAUAGUACAAUGCUCCAAUGAGUAGCAUUCCGUUCGUGAACGUAAAAAUUAAUCAGAUUUUCUGGAUCAUGAAGUUUAGAGACAUCCAACCAUAUAGAUACUGAUUUGAACUGUCUGCCAAGAGAUAAAUCGGCAUGGGAGACAAGAAGGUUAGAUGUUCAACCUGGAUGAUAGAUGGUGAAUCUGAUGAUCUGAUUCAGUUUAAUCUAAAAAUUUUCAUCUUGUUA